rnacentral:rRNA from 1 species
GACGAACGCUGGCGGCGUGCUUAACACAUGCAAGUCGAACGGAAAGGCCCUGCUUUUGUGGGGUGCUCGAGUGGCGAACGGGUGAGUAACACGUGAGUAACCUGCCCUUGACUUUGGGAUAACUUCAGGAAACUGGGGCUAAUACCGGAUAGGAGCUCCUGCUGCAUGGUGGGGGUUGGAAAGUUUCGGCGGUUGGGGAUGGACUCGCGGCUUAUCAGCUUGUUGGUGGGGUAGUGGCUUACCAAGGCUUUGACGGGUAGCCGGCCUGAGAGGGUGACCGGCCACAUUGGGACUGAGAUACGGCCCAGACUCCUACGGGAGGCAGCAGUGGGGAAUAUUGCACAAUGGGCGGAAGCCUGAUGCAGCAACGCCGCGUGCGGGAUGACGGCCUUCGGGUUGUAAACCGCUUUCGCCUGUGACGAAGCGUGAGUGACGGUAAUGGGUAAAGAAGCACCGGCUAACUACGUGCCAGCAGCCGCGGUGAUACGUAGGAUGCGAGCGUUGUCCGGAUUUAUUGGGCGUAAAGGGCUCGUAGGUGGUUGAUCGCGUCGGAAGUGUAAUCUUGGGGCUUAACCCUGAGCGUGCUUUCGAUACGGGUUGACUUGAGGAAGGUAGGGGAGAAUGGAAUUCCUGGUGGAGCGGUGGAAUGCGCAGAUAUCAGGAGGAACACCAGUGGCGAAGGCGGUUCUCUGGGCCUUUCCUGACGCUGAGGAGCGAAAGCGUGGGGAGCGAACAGGCUUAGAUACCCUGGUAGUCCACGCUGUAAACGGUGGGUACUAGGUGUGGGGUCCAUUCCACGGGUUCCGUGCCGUAGCUAACGCUUUAAGUACCCCGCCUGGGGAGUACGGCCGCAAGGCUAAAACUCAAAGGAAUUGACGGGGCCCCGCACAAGCGGCGGAGCAUGCGGAUUAAUUCGAUGCAACGCGUAGAACCUUACCUGGGUUUGACAUGGAUCGGGAGCGCUCAGAGAUGGGUGUGCCUCUUUUGGGGUCGGUUCACAGGUGGUGCAUGGCUGUCGUCAGCUCGUGUCGUGAGAUGUUGGGUUAAGUCCCGCAACGAGCGCAACCCUUGUUCACUGUUGCCAGCACGUUAUGGUGGGGACUCAGUGGAGACCGCCGGGGUCAACUCGGAGGAAGGUGGGGAUGACGUCAAGUCAUCAUGCCCCUUAUGUCCAGGGCUUCACGCAUGCUACAAUGGCUGGUACAGAGAGUGGCGAGCCUGUGAGGGUGAGCGAAUCUCGGAAAGCCGGUCUCAGUUCGGAUUGGGGUCUGCAACUCGACCUCAUGAAGUCGGAGUCGCUAGUAAUCGCAGAUCAGCAACGCUGCGGUGAAUACGUUCCCGGG